UACGAAGGGGGCUAGCGUUGCUCGGAAUCACUGGGCGUAAAGGGUGCGUAGGCGGGUUUUUAAGUCAGGGGUGAAAUCCUGGAGCUCAACUCCAGAACUGCCUUCGAUACUGGAGAGCUUGAGUCCGGGAGAGGUGAGUGGAACUGCGAGUGUAGAGGUGAAAUUCGUAGAUAUCCGGAGGAACACCGGUGGCGAAGGCGGCUUCCUGGACCGACACUGACGCUGAGGCGCGAAAGCUAGGGGAGCAAACGGG
rnacentral:rRNA from 1 species